rnacentral:rRNA from 1 species
AGAGUUUGAUCCUGGCUCAGGACGAACGCUGGCGGCGUGCCUAAUACAUGCAAGUCGAGCGAUGAUUAAAGAUAGCUUGCUAUUUUUAUGAAGAGCGGCGAACGGGUGAGUAUCGCGUGGGAAAUCUGCCGAGUAACGGGGGACAACGUUUGGAAACGAACGCUAAUACCGCAUAACAAUGAGAAUCGCAUGAUUCUUAUUUAAAAGAAGCAAUUGCUUCACUACUUGAUGAUCCCGCGUUGUAUUAGCUAGUUGGUAGUGUAAAGGACUACCAAGGCGAUGAUACAUAGCCGACCUGAGAGGGUGAUCGGCCACACUGGGACUGAGACACGGCCCAGACUCCUACGGGAGGCAGCAGUAGGGAAUCUUCGGCAAUGGGGGCAACCCUGACCGAGCAACGCCGCGUGAGUGAAGAAGGAUUUCGGAUCGUAAAACUCUGUUGUUAGAGAAGAACGUUAAGUAGAGUGGAAAAUUACUUAAGUGACGGUAUCUAACCAGAAAGGGACGGCUAACUACGUGCCAGCAGCCGCGGUAAUACGUAUGUCCCAAGCGUUGUCCGGAUUUAUUGGGCGUAAAGCGAGCGCAGGUGGUUUCUUAAGUCUGAUGUAAAAGGCAGUGGCUCAACCAUUGUGUGCAUUGGAAACUGGGAGACUUGAGUGCACGAGAGGAGAGUGGAAUUCCAUGUGUAGCGGUGAAAUGCGUAGAUAUAUGGAGGAACACCGGAGGCGAAAGCGGCUCUCUGGCCUGUAACUGACACUGAUGCUCGAAAGCGUGGGGAGC